rnacentral:tRNA from 1 species
UCUUUUAUAGUUUAAUUAAAAUAUUUAGCUUCGGUCUAAAAGAAAGGAUUUUUAUUCUUUAAAGUUU